CAUGCAAGUCGAACGAUGAUCCGGUGCUUGCACCGGUGAUUAGUGGCGAACGGGUGAGUAACACGUGAGUAACCUGCCCUUGACUCUGGGAUAAGCCUGGGAAACUGGGUCUAAUACCGGAUAUGACCUUCCAUCGCAUGGUGGUUGGUGGAAAGCUUUUGUGGUUUUGGAUGGACUCGCGGCCUAUCAGCUUGUUGGUGAGGUAAUGGCUUACCAAGGCGACGACGGGUAGCCGGCCUGAGAGGGUGACCGGCCACACUGGGACUGAGACACGGCCCAGACUCCUACGGGAGGCAGCAGUGGGGAAUAUUGCACAAUGGGCGCAAGCCUGAUGCAGCGACGCCGCGUGAGGGAUGACGGCCUUCGGGUUGUAAACCUCUUUCAGUAGGGAAGAAGCGAAAGUGACGGUACCUGCAGAAGAAGCGCCGGCUAACUACGUGCCAGCAGCCGCGGUAAUACGUAGGGCGCAAGCGUUAUCCGGAAUUAUUGGGCGUAAAGAGCUCGUAGGCGGUUUGUCGCGUCUGCCGUGAAAGUCCGGGGCUCAACUCCGGAUCUGCGGUGGGUACGGGCAGACUAGAGUGAUGUAGGGGAGACUGGAAUUCCUGGUGUAGCGGUGAAAUGCGCAGAUAUCAGGAGGAACACCGAUGGCGAAGGCAGGUCUCUGGGCAUUAACUGACGCUGAGGAGC
rnacentral:rRNA from 1 species